rnacentral:rRNA from 1 species
AAUAUUGGACAAUGGGGGCAACCCUGAUCCAGCCAGGCCGCGUGUGUGACGAAGAUCUUCGGAUUGUAAAGCAAUUUCAGUUGGGCGGAAGGGCAGUAAGUUAAUACCUUGCUGUUUUGACGUUACCUACAGAAUAAGCACCGGCUAACUUCGUGCGAGCAGCCGCGGUAAUACGAAGGGUGCAAGCGUUCAUCGGAAUUACGUGGCGUAAAGCGCGCGUAGGUGGUUUGUUAAGUUGGAAGUGAAAGCCCUGGGCUCAACCUGGGAACUGCUUUCAAAACUGGCAAGCUAGAGUAUGGCAGAGGGUGGUGGAAUUUCCUGUGUAGCGGUGAAAUGCGUAGAUAUAGGAAGGAACACCAGUGGCGAAGGCGACUACCUGGACUGAUACUGACACUGAGGUGCGAAAGCGUGGGGAGCAAAC